rnacentral:rRNA from 1 species
GGUGUUAGACCCGUUGGAGUGUAUUCGGUGAUUAUUGAUGUUUCCUAUGAGUCGGAUUGUUUGAGAAUGCAGUCCAAAUUUGGUGGUAUACUCCAUCUAAGGCUAAAUACUUGUAUGAGUCCGAUAGCAAACAAGUACCGUGAGGGAAAGUUGAAAAGAACUUUGAAGAGAGAGUUAAAUAGUACGUGAAAUCGCUUAGAGGUAAACGAGUGGAGCCGAAAAAGCACAAUGGGAUUCAGUUGGGUGUAUGAUGACUAUCGAUUUGGUGACAACCACAACCAGGCAUCACUGAAUUGAUGGGAGAUUGUUGUACGCACAAUGCACUUUCUGUUGGGCUGGACUGUGACCAAUAGGGCUGUUUUACUGUCGUGAUGUUGAAGGUGACCAAUUGCUUGCGGUUGGUUUUAUAGCUCAUUACAUGGUACACACAGUGUAUUGGUGAUAUUGCAACUGGUCGUAAUGCAUUGGCAAUUCGUUAUGUAUGCGGUUUGGUGGUAGACUAUAAUUAGACUGCUGCUCGAUUGUGUGCGUGAUGCAGUUGUUUGAUGUGAUUGGUUUAAAGUCACAGUAAUAUGUAGGUUAUCUACUCGUCCCGUCUUGAAACACGGACCAAGGAGUUUUAUAUGAUCGCGAGUCAAAGGGCCAUACGAAACCCCACGGCGCAAUUAAUGUAAAGGUUCACUUUAGUGUUCUGUGAUGUGACCUGGCAGUAACAACAUGUCAGUGCAACAUCGACCCGUCUAAAGAUGUUCGCAUCUGGGCGGAGUUUGAGCGAUCAUGUAGAGACCCGAAAGAUGGUGAACUAUGCUUGUGCAGGUUGAAGUCAGAGGAAACUCUGAUGGAGGACCGCCGCGGUUCUGACGUGCAAAUCGAUCGUCGGACAUGAGUAUAGGGGCGAAAGACUAAUCGAACCAUCUAGUAGCUGGUUCCCUCCGAAGUUUCCCUCAGGAUAGCUGGCGUUUGUUGUCGUAGUUUGACCUGGUAAAGCGAAUGAUUAGAAGUAUUGGGGGCGAAAUGCCCUCAACUUAUUCUCAAACUUUAAAUGGGUUCGAUGUGUGGCUCGCUUCAUUGGAGUYACACGUUGAAUACGAAUGCCUAGUGGGCCAUUUUUGGUAAGCAGAACUGGCGAUGUGGGAUGAACCAAACAUCUGGUUAAGGUGCCUAACAUCACGCUCAUGAGAACCCACAAAAGGUGUUGGUUGAUAAAGACAGCAGGACGGUGGACAUGGAAGUCGUCAUCCGCUAAGGAGUGUGUAACAACUCACCUGCCGAAUCAACCAGCCCUGAAA